CACUCUGAAAAGCAGAAAACAUGCCAGAUACCAGUGAUAUAUCAAUGAAACGGUCUGAAUUUCCUUUGAAUAGCAAAUUACUGAGUCAGGCAACACUCCAGACAAAUUCAUUUAAUCUUCACAUCUCUGAGAUAUGUUAAUGGCUGAUGAAGACAAUGGGAGAGAGAAUAUUUAGAACACCCCAGACGCAACUGCAGUGAGCAGCAUGAGACCGUAAUCAGAAGCAUGCAUUCCAGAAGCAGGCUGCUUCAACUUGAAUUUGGGUCUGCAAUUCACUAACUUAGGCAAGUCUUUCUGCCUUAGUUUCAUCAUCUAUAAAGUGGAAGAUUACUAACAUAGCAUUUUCGUGAGUUAAAUGAGUAUGUAAAGUUGUGACAGCUCUCAGUGGUUUCUUUCUCACAAAUUAACGUAUCAGCAAGCAGAAGAUCAUGUUUUAUUCCAUCACCACUCUUAAGAAGAAUCUAUGCUAACAUUUGAAGCUGACAGAUGUUUGAGAUCUAGUCUAAAUCACUAAUUUUAUGGACGUGUAUGCUAUCACAAUGCAAAGUGAUUUAGUACUUCAUUUUCUGUUAGGGUAAGGGAAAUGAGGCAUGAUCAAGUGACAUCUGCCCACCAACACAAUCCUUGGCCCAUCGUCAGUUGGCUGGUAGGGGAAGAGGAAUGUGUACACCAGGUAGGGAAGGUUAAACAUCUUGUACUAACUUGUUAGAGCCAACAAUAUUCAAAACCUAUAUGAUGUCCAUUGUUUUCCUGAUGCCAGAAAUGCUGUGUGUGGAUAGAGAAGCAAAUGAAAAAUCAUGGGCCAGGCACGGUGACUCAUGCAUGUAAUCCCAGCACUUGGGGAGGCCAAGGUGGGCAGUUUGCUUGAGUCCAUGAGUAUGAGACCAACCUGGACAACAUGGCAAAACCCCAUCUCUACUAACAAUAGAAAAAAUUAGCUGGGCAAUUUUUAGUGGUGCACACCUGUAAUCCAGCUACUUGGGAGGCUGAGGUGGGAGGACUGCCUGAGCCUGGAAGGUCGAGGCUGAAGUUAGCCAAGAUUGUGCCCAUUGUACUUCCAGCCUGGGCAACUGGAGUGAGACCAUCUCAAAAAAAAGUGUAAGCCAACUCUGGAGUAUUUAUGUAUAUGUGAGUAGCUAUAUAUAUAUAUAAAACAACACUGAGAUAAUUCUAAACAGUUUCAAGUGCUGGACUUUUAAAACAUACCAUGUAUUCAAAUAUUUUUAGAAUUUUUAUUUUGAAAAUGUGUACCAUAUUUAAUAAUUGCUGUAUUGAAUAUUUCCAUUGUUUCUAGCUUUUAUUAUUAUUAUUUUUGGAGACAGAGUUUCUCUGUCGCCCUGGCCUGGGCUGUAGUGCAGUGAUGUGAUAUCAGCUUGCUGCAACCUCUGCCUCCCAGGUUCAAGCAAUUCUCAUACCUUAGCAUCCCAAGUAGCUGGGAUUACAGGCACACACCCAAUGCCUGGCUAAUUUUUUUUGUAUUUUUUAGUAGAGAUGGGGUUUGCCAUGUUGGUGAGUCUAGUCUCAAACUCCUGAGCUCAGCUGAUCUGCGCACUUUGGCCUCCCAAAGUGCUGGGAUUACAGUCAUGAGCUACCACACCUGACCUGUUUCUAGGUUUUCAUGUUUGGGUUUUUUUGUUUUUUCUUGAGACAUUCUUGCUUUGUUGCCCAGACUAGAGUACAGUGGCAUGAUCUCGGCUCACUGCAACUGCCACCUUCCAGGUUCAAGCUAUUCUCCUGCCUCAGCCUCCCGAGUAGCUGGGAUUACAGACAUGCACCACCAUACCCAGCUAAAUUUUGUACAGGGUUGGUAGAGACGGGGUUUCGCCAUGUUGGCCAGGCUGGUCUUGAACUCCUGACCUCAGGUGAUCCACCUGCCUUGGCCUCCCAAAGUGCUAGGAUUACAGGUGUGAGCCACUACGCCUGACCCCGUUUUUAGCUUUUUGAUAUUAAACUCUUCUGUAAUAAACAUCUGGAAAUAAAUCUUCAUGAGUAUCUCCAUUUUUAUAUACUAUAAAUUCUAAGAUGUAGAAUUUCUAGACAAAUUAUUAUUUUUUAUUUUUGAGGCGGAGUUUUGCUCGUUACCCAGGCUGAAGUGCAAUGGUGUGAUCACUGCAACCUCUGCCUCCUGGGUUCAGGCAGUUCUCCUGCCUCAGCCUCCUGAGUAGCUGGGAUUACAGGCACACACGACAAAUUAUUUUUUUAAGAGACAGGGUCUUGCCCCAUCACUCAGGGCUGCAGUGCAGUGGUGAGAUCAUAGCUCACUGCACCCUUGAACUCCUGGGCUCAUGCAAUCCUCUUGCCUCAGCCUAGCAAGUAGCAGGGACUAUAGACGCCACUACACACAGCUAAUUUUUAAUUUUUUUCUGUAGAGAUGAGGUCUCACUAUAUUACCCCAGCUGAACUUUUCUUUUUUUUUGAGAUGGAGUCUUGCUCUGGCGCCCAGGCUGGAGUGCAAUGACACAGUCUUGGCUCACUACAACCUCUGCCUGCAAGGCUCAAGUGAUUCUCCUGCCUUAGCCUCUUGAGUAGCUGGGAAUACAGGCAUGUGCCUCCAUGCCCAGUAAUUUUUGUAUUUCAGUAGAGACAGCAUUUCAGUAUAUUGGCCAGGCUUGUCUCAAACUCAUGUACUGAGGUGAUCCACCUAUCUCUGCCUUCCAAAGUGCUGGGAUUACAGGUGUGAGCCACUGUACCUGGUCACUCAAGCGGUCCUCCUGCCUGGGCCUCCCAAAGUGCUGGGAUUAUAGGUGUGAACCACUGUGCCCAGAUUUUUUUGCAGGUAAAGGGUCUCUGUCACCCAGGCUGGAGUGCAGUGGCACUAUCAUAGCUUACUGCAGCCUCAACCUCCUGGGCUCAACUGAUCCUCCCACCUCAGCUUCCCAAUUAGCUGGGAGGUGCAUGCCAACAUGUCCAGCUAAUUUCUAAAAAUGGUUGCAGGCCGGGCACAGUGGCUCACACUUGUAAUCCCAGCACUUUGGGAGGCUAAGGUGGAUAGAUCACUUGAAGUCAGGAGUUUGAGACCAGCCUGGCCAAUGUGGUGAAACCCCGUCUCUACUAAAAAUACAAAAAGUAGCCAGGCCUGGUGGUGGGCGCCUAUAAUCUCAGCUACUUGGGAGGCUGAGGCAGGAGAAUCACUUGAACCCAUGGGCAGAGGUUGUAGUGAGCAAGGAUUUUUGCCAUUGCAAUCUUAGCUGCACAUGUUGGCAGACUGGUCUCGAAUUCAUGGGUUCAAGAGAUCCUCAAAGUCUGGAAUUACAGGUAACAGCCACCAUACCCAGCUAGCCUAUUUAUUUAUUUAUUUAUUUAUUUUGCCAAUCAGUUUGAACUUAUAAGGUUGCUCAGGUUAGCCUUGAACUCAUGACCUCGCCUUCGCAAGCGCCACGACCUCCAGCAGGAGCCACUUUGGACCCCUAGCCUGGAUAUUUUUAAAUCUGAACAAAUAUUACCAGAUUGCCUAUAAGAAAGUUAUAACAAGGCCGGGCGUGGUGGCUCAUGCCUGUAAUCCCAGCACUUUGGGAGGCUGAGGCGGGUGAAUCACGAGGUCAAGAGAUCGAGACCAUCCUGGUCAACAUGGUGAAACCCCGUCUCUACUAAAAAUUCAAAAAACUAGCUGGGCACGGUGGUGCGUGCCUGUAAUCCCAGCUACUCAGGAGGCUGAGGCAGGAGAAUUGCCUGAACCCAGGAGGUGGAGGUUGUGGUGAGCUGAGAUCAUGCCAUUGCACUCCAGCCUGGGUAACAAGAGCGAAGAGCGAAACUCCGUCUCAAAAAAAAGGAAAGAAGGUUAUAACAAUUUCUGUUCUCACCAAUAGGAUAUUAAAAUGCAAAUUUUACCCAUCCAUGGCCAAACCUAGGCAUUACCUUUGCAAUAAAAAUCAAAUCAAAACAAGACUUUACUAAUAUAAGAGGUGAAAUUUUACUUUCUCAGUUUUAUCAUGAGACUUAACAUUUUUCACUUUACUGGGGAUUUUUGUAUAUUUCAUGAUGUGCCCAAAUCCUUACUCAUUUUAUUUUACUGGGAUAUUUGUCUUUUUCUUAUUUUGUGUCCCUUUGUUUUGCAACUAUUGUUGCAAAUGUUCUUUCCCAGUGUAUUUAGAGUCUCACUCUGUUGCCCAGGCUGGAGUGCCAUUGUGCGAUCUCGGCUCACUACAACUUCCAUUUCCUGGGGUUUAAGCAAUUCUCUGCCUCAGCCUCCUGAGUAGCUGGGAUUUCAGCCACCCGCCACCAUGCCCAACUAAUUUUUGUAUUUUUAGUAGAUACGGGGUUUCACCAUGUUGGCCAGGUGGAUCUUGAACUCCUGACUUCAUGAUCUGCCCGCCUUGGUCUCCCAAUAUGCUGGGAUUAGAGGCAUGAGCCAUCUUACCCAGCCGUAUUUACCUUUUAAAAUUUGGUUAUGGUGUUGGCAUUUUAAUUUUUUCUAAUUUAAUUAAUACAAAGUCCUGAAGAUAGUGUUAGCAUUUUAUGUGGUUAAAAAUGUCUGUAUUUUCUUUCUCAGUUCUUUAAUAAUUAGUACUCUUGACUGGGCACAAUGGCUAAUGCCUAUAAUCCCAGCAUUUUGGGAGGUUGAGGUGGGCUGAACACUAGGUCAAGAGAUCAGACCAUCCUGGCCAACAUGGUGAAACCCUGUCUCUACUAAAAAUACAAAAAUUAGCUGGGCGUGGUGGUGCACACCUGUAGUCCUAGAUACUUGGGAGGCUGAGGCAGGAGAAUUGCUUGGACCCAGGAGGUAGAGGUUGCAGUGAACCAAGAUCGUGUCACUGCACUCCAGCCUGGCAACAGAGAGACUCUACUCUGUCUCAAAAAAAAAAAAAUAAUAAUAAUAAUAAUUAGCACUCUCUCCAUCCUGAGAUUAGGAUGGUCGCUUUUAUUAUUUUUUGUUUUGUGCUCUUUUUCUUGAGACAGGGUUAUGACACUGGAAUGCAGUCAUCAUUGCUCACUGUAGCUUUGACCCCUGACUCUCAGUUGAUCCUCCUGCCUCAGCCUCCUGAAUAGCUAGGAUUAUAGGCACAUGUCAGCACACCCACCUAACCUUUGUAUUUUUUUGUAGAGACAAGGUUUUGCCAUGUUGCCCAGGCUGUUCUUGAACUCCUGGACUCAAGCAAUCUGCCUGCCUUGGCCUCCCAGUUUUGCUGGGAUUACAUGCAUGAGCUAUCACACCUGGCCUGUUAUGUGCUUUCACUUUUUUUGUUUAUUGGUUUAAUUAUUAUUAUUUUUGGAGACAGAGUCUUACUCUGUCACUCAGGCUGGAGUGCUGGAGCGAUCUAGGCUCACUGCAACCUCUGACUCCCGGGUUCAAGUGAUUCUUGUGCCUCAGCUUCCUGAGGAGCUUAGAUUAUAGGCUUGCAUCACCACACCUAAGUUUUUUAUUUUUAUUUUGUAUUUUUAUGUUUUUGAGUUGGAAUCUUGCUAUGUUGCCCAGGCUGUAGUGCAGUGGUGCAGUUUUGGCUCACUGCAACCUCUGCCUCCAGGGUUCAAGCAGUUCUCCUCCCUCAGGCUUCCAAGUAGUGAUCCUAGAGUAGCUAAGAUAACAGGCAUGUACCACCACACCUGAUUUUCAGUAGAGAUGGGGUUUCAACAUGUUGGCCAAGCUGGUCUCAACUCCUAAUCUCAAGUAAUCUGCCCACCUCAGCCUCCCAAAGUACUGGGAUUAGAGGUAUGAACAACUGUGCCUGGCCUAAGGGGUUUCACCAUGUUAGCCAGGCUGGUCUCAACUCCUGACCUCAAGUGAUCUGCCCACCUCAGCCUCCCAAAGUGCUGGGAUUAUGGGUGUGAGCCACCACACCUGGCCUGUUUUAUUUAUUUAAAAAAAACUUUUUUUUCUGUACUCUGGUGUUGAAACUGAUUUUUUUUUUUUUUUGGGGUGGACAAGAUCUGGCUCUCUUGCCCAGGCUGGAGUGCAAUGGCAUGAUCUCGGCUCAUUGCAACCUCUGCCUCCUGGGCUCCCUCCCACCUCAGCCUCCUGAGUACUGAGACUACAGGUGCAUACCACCACACAAGGAUAAUUUUUCUAUUUUUUAUAGAGACGGGGUUUUCUCCAUGUUGCCCAGGUUGGCCUCAAACUCAUGAGCUAAAGCAAUCCACUCACCUUGGCCUCCCAAAGUGCUGAGAUUACAGGUGUGAGCCACUGCGCCCAGCCUUUUCUUUCUUUUUAUUUUUUUAAAGAUGGGGGUUUCACCAGGUUGGUCAGGCUGGUCUUGAACUCCCGACCUCAGGUGAUCCACCCGCCUUAGCCUCCAAAGUGCUUAGAUUACGGCCGUGAGCCACCACGCUCAGGCUUCUUUCUUUCUUUUUUUUUUAAGAGACAUGGUUUCAUGCUGUCACCCAGGCUGGAGUGUAGUGGUGUGAUCAUAGCUCACUGCAGCCUCCAACUCCUAGGCUCCAGCUCUUCCUCCCACUUCAGCCUCUGGAGUAGCUGGGAUUAUAAAUGAGAGCCAUUGUACCCAACUUUUCUGCCUUUACUUUUUACAACUAAUUCUUUAUAUAGAAGUCAUUAGAGUACACUGUAAAGUGAGGCUCUAACUUAACUUUUUCCAAGUGGCUAACCAGUUGGCAGAGAAUCAUUUAUUGAGUAAAUCUUAAUUACUCCAUUGCUUUCUCUCCAGAGUAUCUAUUCUAUUAUACAGAUCUCUUUUUUUGUUAGCUUUUUGAGACAGGGUCUCUCUCCUGUCACCCAGGCUAGAGUCUAGUGGUGUGAUCUUGGCUUACUGAAGCCUUGGCUUUCCAGGCUCAGGUGAUCCUCCUACCUUAGCCUCCCGAGUAUCUGGGAGUACAGGCAUGUGCCACCAUGACCAGUCAAUUCUUUCUAUUUUUAGUAGAGACAAGGUCUUGCUGUGUUGCCUGGGCUGGUCUUGAACUCCUGGGUUCAAGUGAUCCACCUGCCUUACCCUCCCUAAGUGCUAACAUUACAGUUGUGAACCACCAUGCCUGUCCUUACAGAUCUCUUAUACACCCUAGUACUACACAGUUUGAAAUACUAUUGCUUUAUAAGCAUUCAGAGUCUGUAUCUAUCUUCCUCACCAUUGUAUCCCUGGAACCUAGCAUAAUGCCCGGAAUGGAGCAGGCACUGAAUAAGUGUUUCUGACUUAUGAGGUAAAGGUUAUUGUCAUGCUAAAGUGGGAAGCGGAAGACACCCUCUGGAAUGGAUGCACUCCAAGUCAGGACCUCUGCCUAAGUGACUGUUGGACCACCAAGCCUGGGGCCUCUAAAUGUGCUCUAAGCCAAGAAGACAGGGUAAUAAACAUUCUUUUCCAGAAAGCUUUCUCAAAGAGAAAAAUAUCUUUAUCACCUGCUGGUCAACUAUACUGCUUGUUAAAUACUGGAACAAAGUGAAUCUGAUGUUUCCUUUAGAUGACAAAAAAUAGUUAUUAUUUUCUAAUAUUCUUGAGUCCACUUCCCCUCCUCAUAAGGCCCGGUGUCCUCAUUCUGAACUCCAAGGGUUGCAGCCUGGAUUUGGAAGUAAAAAAGCUGAAGGAGAUGGGGCUGAAUGUUACUGAACCCAAUGCAUCCCCAGAAAUUAAAUCUCCAAUUCCUGGUAUCAGCUUUUUGCCCCCAUUAUUUGGCCUCAUUCACCACAUAAAGCCGAGUUCAAAUAUUUCCUAGGAAAGACUUUCUUGUUCUCUUCUCUCGCAAACUCUUUACUAUCCUCUAUUACACCACUUAUUCUAUCAUAUGUGAUCUAUUUAUAGAUUUCCCUAUUAAAGUGGUAGGUCCUUGCUGGGUGUGGUGGCUCACGCAUGUAAUUGCAGCACUUAGGAGGCUGAGGCAGGAGGAUCACCUGAGGUCGGGAGUUGGAGACCAGCCUGACCAACAUGAAGAAACUCUGUCUCUACUAAAAAUACAAAAAAAUUAGCCAGGCAUGGUAUUGCAUGCCUGUAAUUCCAGUUACUCGGGAGGCUGAGGCAGGAGAAUCACUUGAACCAGGGAGUUGGAGGUUGCAGUGAGCCAAGAUCACAUCCAGCCUUGUUGCACUCCAGCCUGUGCAACAAGAGAGAAACUCCAUCUCAAAAUAAAUAAAUAAAUAGGCCGGGCGCGGUGGCUCACACCUAUAAUCCAAGCACUUUGGGAGGCCAAGGCGGGUGGAUCACAAGGUCAAGAGAUCGAGACCAUCCUGGUCAACAAGGUGAAACCCCAUCUCUACUAAAAAUACAAAAAUUAGCUGGGCAUGGUGGUGCAUGCCUGUAGUCCCAGCUACUCAGGGGGCUGAGGCAGGAGAAUUGCUUGAACCCAGGAGGCGGAAGUUACGGUGAGCCAAGAUUGUGCCAUUGCACUCCAGUCUGGGUAACAACAGCAAAACACCGUCUCAAAAAAUAAAAAAAUAAAAAUAAAUAAAUAAAUAAACUGGUAGGUCCUCAAGAUUAGGGGCUGCAUCUGUACUUCCAAUAUCUAGUGUAAGAUCUGGUAGCUGGUUAAGUUUCAGUAAAUGUUUACUGAACUAAAUCUGCAAAAGAAACUGCUUAAAUAAGAGCUCCAGUGAUUUAUAUCUCAAUCAGUGAAUAGUAGAAUCUCAGGGCAAAAAGGAGCCCUAAAAUCUUGUGCAAUCCCUUUUACAAUGCUGAAUUCCCUGCAAAACACCCUUGUGUCAAGGAGUUAUUCAGACUCCAUCUGAACUUAGUGAUGGGAAGUUUAUUACCUCUAGAAUUAGCUUGCUUCAUCACUGAUAAGCUCAGGGUUUAAGCUUUACCUUCAGUUUAGCAAAAAUGUACCUUCCAUUAGCUUCCAUCCAGAACAAGUCUAUUAAUCUUCUUUCAUGUGACAGCCAUAUAUUUCAAGAUGGGUCAUGUUUCCCAAGUCUUCUCUUUCAGGAAAAACAUCUUCAGUCUUCCAAAUGUGACUCACAUAAUGUGGCUUUGACUUCUUUCCCUGUACUCCAGGGGUAGCCUGACUACUGCAGAGCUAGGCAGGACUGCUGCCCCCUUGUCCUUUAGCCUAUAUUUACAUUAGUUCACACAGCUCAAGAUAGAGUCAUUAUUAGUGGCUUCAGCACAUAGUUGACUAAACUCAAUCUUUUUUAUACAAGCUCUUACUAAGCAGACUUCUUUAUCCCUCAUCCUGAGGCCAUGCAAUUGGAACUUUUAUAACUCACUUAAGUACUGAUAUAUUCUAUUAAAUUUCAUUUUGUUAGAUCUGACCAUUGCACUAACACCAUCAAGAACUCUAGGAAUCUGGGCUCUGCCAUUCAAAACUAACUUCCCUGUUUUGUGUCCCCUGCAAAUAUGGUAAGCAAGCAAUUCAGUGACAAAUGCCAAAUGGACCAAAACCUUGUGACAAGCCAUCAGAGCCCUCCUUCCAAAUCCACUCCAUCAUUGCCUCUGUACUUUACCAAACCCAGCUAGUGUUUGUGUGCUAUUCCUGCUUUUACCAUGUAAAAUCAGGCUACUGUUCUACCUGAUAACUUACUUCCAAACUGGAAGGCCUUGUCUUCAUCAGCUCAUCCCAGAGUCGGCGCCAGAUGGCCUGAGUGGAGAGGCCUGUAGGGAGAAAUAUCACACUUGGCUGCUUGCUGGCUACCAUGAGUAAAGUACAUCAACCUUUCAUGUUGUCCUCUGGGUUCACAGGAGCAAUAUGGCAAGAGUGAUUAAGAGCACUGGCUCUAAAGACAGAUUGCCUGAGUGUGAAUAUCAGCAAACUACAGUCUAGCUAUGUGACUUUGGGCAAGUUACUUAAUUUGUCUGUGGUUCAGGUUCCUCAUCCGUAAAAUGUAGUUAAUAACAGUUACUUUAUAGAGUUGUUGAAAGGAUUACAGUAAAUGAGUUUCUCUGGAUAAAGUGCCUAGGACAGUGCCUGGCAUAUUAGGGUUAAAUAUUAGCUGUUAACAGAUGUGUCUAAUGAGGGGAGGAAGCUUGGUAAAAUAGAAAAACAGAUUCAGAAGAUCUAGGUCCUCAUUCUGGCUUUGCUAUUAAUUGUGGUGUGCCUGUGUCUCACUUUUAUCAGUAUAAUAAAGAUCAUGUACUUGGCUUUGUGUUUCAUAGGACACUGAGGAAUGAGGAAGAAAAACAGGUGUUAGGGUACUUUUUGAAAAGCAUGAAGUUCUAGCAGGUAGUAGGUAUAAUAUUUACCUGAAGAACAUUAUGGUGCCUUAUUCAUAAUCAUUAACUGAGAAAGAGACAGAGAGAUACUUACCUUUCUUCAGGGCAGUUUCCUCAAUUCUUUCCAAGUAAUAUAUAUUGAGCAGAGGUAGGAUGCUUUGAAGUAUUGGGCCUGGGAGGGCUACAAAAAUCAAAACAGAAGUUUACUUUCCCUCCCCUCCCCCACCCACCCAAGAGGGUUCCAAGCAUUAUUUAUUUUACUGGAAAGGAAAAUGGAAGGGUAGACUUCUCAUUUGAUAAAUGGAACCUCUAGAAGCUAAUCUAGGUCUCUUCCAAACUCUGGUCGACUUAUCUUCAGCCACUCAGUUGGAAGCUGGAAUUUCAGAAGCAAGAGUGAAAUAAUCCCACAAAACAAGCUGACAUGCUAAAUGAGCUUGAUAUGCUUAUUUAAGAGCUGGUCAGUUCACUUCUGCCUAAGCAAAUGAAGCAUUCGGCAUUGAAAAGGACCUACUGAAUAAGUGUGAUAAAAGAUCUUUCAUAAUCUGCCUUGCUAAUAUCAGCUCCCUGCUUUGCCUCCUAUAUUUCAGCCGCACUUAACUGCUUUUUCAUUUACCUAACAUAUUAUGCUGCUUUCUGCCCCUGUACCUUUGUCACGCUGUUCUCUCCAACAGGAAUGUCGUUGCCACUUUCAGUAUAUCAACUACUCAUCUUUCAAGUAUCACAUGUCCUUUAUUAAGUCCAGAAUUCCUUUCCCAGAUUAACCACUACCAUUCUUUGGGCUACUGCUAUACCCUGAACUAGUACUUUCCUAUGAAGAAUAGAAACAAUUCGUGUCUCUAAAGUCAAUAUAUCUUUUUUUUUUUUUUGAGACAGAGUCUUGCUUUGUCGCCAGGCGCCAGGCUGGAGUGCAGUGGCGCAAUCUCACCUCACUGCAAUCUCCGCCUUCUGGGUUCAAGAAAUUCUCCUGCCUCAGCCUCCCAAGUAGCUGGGACUACAGGUGCAGGCCACCACGCCCAGCUAAUUUUUUGUUUUUAGUAGAGAAGGGAUUUCGCCAUGUUGGCCAGGAUGGUCUCAAUCUCUUGACCUCGUGAUCCACCCCCCUCAGCCUCCCAAAGUGCUGGGAUUACAGGUGUGAGCCACCGCGCCCCACCGAAAGUCAAUGUAUCUUAAAAACAAAACCUGCUCUUGCCAACUUCUUUAGUUCUAAGAGCCAUUAUAGUAUAAUGUCUAAAGGGUUUGGCCACUAGAGUAGGACAUCUGGGUGAAAAAUCCUGACUACUUAGUUAAAUGGGAAUCCUUGGACAACAUUAUUUAAGCCUCUUUAAGCCUCAGUUUCUUCAACUGAAAAAAAUGGAGGCCAGGCACAGUGGCUCACACCUGUAAUCCCAGCACUUUGGGAGGCUAAGAUAAGAGGAUCGCUUAAGCCUAGGAGUUUGAGCUACAGUAAGCUAUGAUCGUACCACUGCACUCGAGCCCAGGCGACAGAGUGAGAACCCCAUCUCAAAACAAAACAAAAAUCAGCAGGGUGUGAUGGUGUCCUCCUGUGGUCAUAGCUACUUGUGAGGCAAAAGUGGGAGGAUUGCUGGAGUCCAGGAGGUGAAGGCUACAGUGAGCUGUACCUGGACCACAGCACUCCAGCCUGGGUGACAGAGCAAGACAGUGUCUCAAAAAAUAAAUAGGCAGGGCGCAAUGGCUCACACCUGUAAUCUCAGUACUUUGGGAGGCCAAGGUGGGCAGAUCACUUGAGGUCAGGAGUUUGAGACCAGUUUGGCCAACAGGGUGAAACUCUGUCUCGACUAAAAAUACAAAAAUUAGCUGGGUGUAAUGGCGCACGCCUGGGAUACCAGCUACUUGGGAGGCUGAGGCAUGAGAAUCACUUGAACCCAGGAGGUGGAGGUUGCAAUGAGCCGAGAUUGCACUACUGCACUCCAGCCUGGGCAACAGAGCAAGACUCUGUCUCAAAAAAAUAAAAUGAAAUGGAGAGAAGAGUAAUUAACUCAUGACAUUGUUGUGAAGAUCAUGCUUGUAAUCUUGUAAUCUGUUUUAAACAAUGCCCGGCCAUAAUAAGCUCACUAAAUGUUGGUUUUUAUUAUUUUUAUCCUGUCAAUGCCAUCUCUGUCCAAUCAAGAACAGAUUAAACUCACACCUGGAAUCCCUGUAAUCUUUGGGAGGUCAAGGCGGGGGAGAUUGCUUAAGCCCAGCAGUUUGAGACCAGCCUGGGUAAUACGGCAAGACCUGUUUCUACCAAAACUACAAAAAAAAAUUAGCCAGGUGUUGCAGUGCCUGCCUGUGGUCCCAGCUGCUCAGGAGGCUGAGGUGGGAGAAUUGCUUGAGUCCAAAAGGUGGAGGCAGCAGUGAGCUGAUAUCAUGCCACUACACUCCAGCCUGGAUGACAGAGUGAGACCCCAUCUCAAAGAAAAAGAACAAGUCUGAGAUCUUGGAGUACACCAAAACUUUUGCUCCAGGAUCUCUUUUUAUCUUUAUUUUAGAAUAAAUGAAUCUUGGCCGGGCACAGUGGCUCACGCCUAUAAUCCCAGCACUUUGGGAGGCCGAGGCAGGUGGAUCACGAGGUCAAGAGAUUGAGACCAUCCUGGUCAACAAGGUGAAACACUGUCUCUACUAAAAAUACAAAAAUUAGCUGGGCAUGGUGGCACGUGCCUGUAGUCCCAGCUACUUGGGAGGCUGAGGCAGGAGAAUUGCUUGAACCAGGAGGCGGAGGUUGCGGUGAGCCGAGAUCGCGCCAUUGCACUCCAGCCUGGGUAACAAGAGCAAAACUCCGUCUCAAAAAAAAAAAACACACAAAACAGGCCGGGCGCAGUGGCCACGCCUAUAAUCCCAGCACUUUGGAAGGCCGAGG